GAUGAACGCUGGCGGCGUGCCUAAUACAUGCAAGUCGAGCGAACAGACGAGGAGCUUGCUCCUCUGACGUUAGCGGCGGACGGGUGAGUAACACGUGGAUAACCUACCUAUAAGACUGGGAUAACUUCGGGAAACCGGAGCUAAUACCGGAUAAUAUAUUGAACCGCAUGGUUCAAUAGUGAAAGACGGUUUUGCUGUCACUUAUAGAUGGAUCCGCGCCGGAUUAGCUAGUUGGUAAGGUAACGGCUUACCAAGGCAACGAUGCGUAGCCGACCUGAGAGGGUGAUCGGCCACACUGGAACUGAGACACGGUCCAGACUCCUACGGGAGGCAGCAGUAGGGAAUCUUCCGCAAUGGGCGAAAGCCUGACGGAGCAACGCCGCGUGAGUGAUGAAGGUCUUCGGAUCGUAAAACUCUGUUAUUAGGGAAGAACAAAUGUGUAAGUAACUAUGCACGUCUUGACGGUACCUAAUCAGAAAGCAACGGCUAACUACGUG
rnacentral:rRNA from 1 species